AGGAGCUUGGAUAAGUUUUCAAGCUGCCCUGACACGGCUGUGUCUGAGCCCUCACUGUUCACCUUUUCCCCUUUUCUGAAUUGCACUGCACCAUUCCAUUUUCAUGCUUAUUACUGAGGACACAGUUUAACAUAUCCAAAUAUGAUAGAGAUUAACCAACAGUGCUGAAAGGAAGGAAGGAAUGACUUGGAGAGGGGAGUGUGUUCUGGCCUUGAAUUAAUUCUUUGACAUUGAAACUAUUCUCUGAAAUAUUUUCAUGAAGAGUAAAAACAAAGAUCUGCAUCUUUGUUUACACUAGAAUACUGUGUCCUGACUUGCCAAUCUGACAGGCUGGGGACCUUUUGAAGUCUGAAAUCAUGGAAAGUUCAUCACCAAAAUUUGAAACCUAAGCUGCAGCAAACAGAACUGACCAGGCUGAGAGGUGACAUAAGUGCUGGGAUCAGUUCUGGAGCAGCAAGGCAGGAUAGCUUCUACACUGAGAAGGGUGAAAAGAGCCAAGGAGAAAAGUCAACCAAGAGUUAUCUAGGCUGGAAGAUUAUAAAGCAGCAUAAAGCAGCUCUUCAUUUAUAAUGAAAUGCUUCCCAGAGUCCUCUUCUUUGUACCAAAGUGCAAAUGUUGUUGCGCCCAUGACAAAAGUUUGUAGGUAGCAAUAAUGUCUUCAUCAGCUUUUCAGCUUUCAGGUGCACAGACUUAUCUCUGAGCCACCAGCACCCAGAGGUGUUGGCUGUAAUCUGCAGAGGAAUGUGUGUACCUGACAGGAUGCUUGUCCAAGUGUAUGUGUGGGUUUAUUGAAACAGACUGGUUUUGUCUCACAACUUUGUUUUUGCAGCUCACUCUUCUCUGCUUGUCACUGUUGUACCAGACAUCAUCAUGCUGGCCAUCUCUGCAUCUGGCUCUACACCUCCUGACAUGGACUGAGAAUGCAGGAGGCACUUUUGAGUUACCUGGAGAAAACCCACCUUGGAAGGCCUGUGCAGACUGAAGCGCUGUGGUUGUGGUUGUGCCUGUCCAGUACAGAGCUUCCUUCACUGUACAUGUUUCACUGGGCCACAGUUACUGCAAAAAAAACCAAGAACAGACUGGGAUCACCCAGCAGAGCUCUGGGGUAGCAAACACUUUUACCCAGGCAAGCCUCAGCAACGUCCUUUAUGGGUAUCAGACAAACCCCUGGUACCCUGUGUCUGCCCUUUCAGCUGAGAGAUGCUGGUGUCAAUAGGACCACUGGAGCCAGAGGCAGAGAAUAGGAAGUCAUAAUCUUAGCCAUAAAUGGAACAGGACUUGCCUCCUGCUUCGAAAGAUGCUGCCUCAUUUGUCCUUUGAGACUUCACAAGCAAGGUUUGCUGCUCCAGCUUUCAUUCACUCCCUGGUCCUGAAAUAGCUCCUGGAUCUGAACCAUCUCUUUUCAAGGUGAUGAUAGGGACGGGAGCUAGGACAGAACUUGUGCAUGGUGGGGAUGGGAAUUUGAGCCUGGGAUGUCUGUUUUAGUUGGCAGAUUGUUGUCUUGGACCUGCCUGCUUGUCUGUUCAGGCCAAGAUCAUUGCUGUCCAAACUGCAGUGUGAGAUGUGCACAUCUUGACCAGCAGUGAGGCUGAGCUCCUUGGCUCCCUCAUGAAGAGAUUCUCAGUUUUAUUCAACCUGGGAGGCUGGUGACUAACAGGUUAAACUGCUCCCAAAUUACCAUGUUUUUUUCAUAAAUGUGAAAUAAAAAAUUUCUGUUGAAAUGAAA